rnacentral:rRNA from 1 species
UACGUAGGGGGCAAGCGUUGUCCGGAUUUAUUGGGCGUAAAGAGCGUGUAGGCGGCUUUACAGGUCCGUUGUGAAAACUCGAGGCUCAACCUCGAGACGCCGGUGGAAACCGUAAAGCUAGAGUCCGGAAGAGGAGAGUGGAAUUCCUGGUGUAGCGGUGAAAUGCGCAGAUAUCAGGAGGAACACCCGUGGCGAAAGCGGCUCUCUGGGCAAUUCCUGACGCUGAGGCGCGAAAGCGUGGGGAGCAAACGGG